CCUACGGGAGGCAGCAGUGAGGAAUAUUGGUCAAUGGGCGCGAGCCUGAACCAGCCAAGUAGCGUGAAGGAUGACUGCCCUACGGGUUGUAAACUUCUUUUAUAAAGGAAUAAAGUGAGGCACGUGUGCCUUUUUGUAUGUACUUUAUGAAUAAGGAUCGGCUAACUCCGUGCCAGCAGCCGCGGUAAUACGGAGGAUCCGAGCGUUAUCCGGAUUUAUUGGGUUUAAAGGGAGCGUAGAUGGGCUGUUAAGUCAGUGGUGAAAGUUCGGGGCUCAACCAUAAGGUGGCGUUGAAUAUGGAUGUGGUGAGACGUCGAGAGGUAUGCGGAAUGUGUAGGGUAGCGGUGAAAUGAUUAGAUAUUGCGCAGAAAGACGAGGGCGAAGGCAGAAUAACGGCGGCGAUCUGACGCUGAGGCACGAAAGCGUGGGGAUCGAACAGGAGUAGAUACCCUAGGAGUC
rnacentral:rRNA from 1 species